GGCAGUAAAAUUACAUAGAAACACAUAUGAUAUGGCGGGAUAAUGUCUUACUGAAUGCUGACAGAAGUUUAGACGAAGACAUGUGGCAUUCAAAAUAUUCUCUCCACUCACCCACACGAAAGAAGAAGGUGUGAGAGACAUAUCUCCGAGUACCAGCGUUCUAGUAAUACAGGAAGUGUCAUAUUGUCAUUUUGGUGGGGGCCAAGUCAGAAGCAUCAGUGUAUGUUCGAUGCUUAUGUUGCCUCAAAGGAUAUGAUGGGGUGUGGUUCAUUUAACCGGAAAGAAUUUCUAUCAGGACAGCAGAUCACAUUAUAUUUUAGUUGCCUCUAUGCCAUUGAGAAGACGAUUAGCCAUGAUGACUAUAUAUGCGCAAAAUUAGAAAAUAAAAAAAGAUUGUGUGUGCUUAUCUUGUCUAUUUUGUAAUAUAUGAUUCUAAAAUAAAGGUAUACCAUUUAUAAUAGGAUACGAUUAUGAAAUAUUCAUCAUCGGAACCCACUGCUCAAAGGCCGUAAUUAAGCGCCGAGCAUAGGCCUAAAUUUUGCAACCCUCACUGACAAUGGUGACGUCUCCAUAUGAGUGAAAAAUUCUUCGGCGGUACGUCAAAUGAUAAUAAAUGAAUCAACCCGUGGGUUCCAACGAUGUCAGAUAUUAAAGAUAUUGACUUUCCCAGCAUACUAAAUGACUUCAAUAUGAACAUCAUUUGUAUGUUACAGUUACAAGCAAGGUCUUCUUAUGAUGUUGAAAUAUAAUUCACAUACCUAUGUUUAAAAAGAUACGUUAAACGAGUGACCAUGAUGAACGUCCAGACUCUAGAAAACAGAGGCCCUCAAUUGUUUUUAAUCAAAUGCCAAGGUCACGAUAUGCAUUUUCUAGAUAUGGUAGUUAUUUUGAUGAAUUCUUAAGAUAUACAUUUGCAAUUUGUGAUAUAUGUACAAUACACAAAUAGAAAUCAUGCACAUUUGAAGAAAAAAGAAAGAAAAAAAAAAACAAAACUAUGCAUUGAUUUAAUUAUCUGUUACAAAUUAAGAGUGUUUAUGAUUGAAGAACAUGCAUGAUGUAUAACAAAAUGAGAUUUACUUGAAAAGAAUGUGAACAUCAAGUUUCCUGUUUUAUGAUAUUUUGUUACCAUAGCAACAAUGUAAUAUGAAUUAUCUAUCAGUAUUAAUAUUUUAUCAACUAUAACAUUGACUUCAGUUGAAUCUGUCUAUAAAAGCAUUUUUUUUUUGGUCUAAAAAAUUAUUUAGCAUGGAUUUCGAAUUUGAAAAGAAAUAGCAAUUUUCGUUUCCAUGGCAACCAAAUUGAAUUCUUAUAUUACACUUGUUAAAAUUUAAAAUCUAACAUCAGUAGCAAUCGGUUAUUAAGAUUAUAUACUUUGAAUACAUAGAAAAUUGUAUUUUGAAUUACUUUGAAAAAUGCAUCUCUACUGUCAUAUCAUGACGAAAUGCAUGAUUUUGUUUCCGUGGAAACACAGCUUAGAUGGUAGAUUCCCAAACAUGUCUCAUUGUUAUAUGAUAGUACUAUAUCUAAUGUAUGCUGUACAAGCAUUUAUAGAUUUCAAGCUGAAUGCGGGAAUUUUUAUUCAUCAUUCAAAUUUUCCUCUAAAUUAGCUUUUUCAGAAUGUAUCAAACAACUCUCUUUUCCAGACAGAAUGAAAAUAUAACAGAAUUAUUCAAACCUUUAACUAAAUAUCAAACUAAAUAAUAAAAAUGCUAUAUAGUAUCAUUUGAUAAUGAUUAAAUAAGAACUCAAACAGGUUAAUCCAGUAUAGUUGAAUGAAAAAUGUCAUUUUUAAUACUGGUUAAUCCAGUAUAGUUGAAUGAAAAAUGUCAUUUUUCAUGCGAAAAUUGACUCUUUUGUGACCUGAAUGGCAUGCACGUGUUACCAUGGCAACAGAGUUGCAUAGCAACCAAAUUAUGAUGGUUUUACAUUACUUAUGCCAGAUGAAGUCGAUGUGCCAAAUUUGAAAAAAAUCGGUGACAGUGCGUGCCGGACCCCUUAUAUAAAUGUUUAAGUGGUUACAGAGAAUGGCUCUUAACGCUAAAAAUCAUACAAAUGGCUUAUUGCUUGAUUUAAACUCGAAUUAUUUUGGCUAAUUUUUGUCAAUACACGUCUUUUAAACUUAUUUUCAAAAAUGUUUGAAUCAACAAAUAAGCUCCAUUUUUUUUAUUAUACAUUUGAAUAUCUUAAUUUUAUCGAUCUUUCAUUAAUACUUUAGGGAAAUUAACAUGAGAUGUGCAACACGUUCUUUCUAUUUUUGAAAAAUAGAAUUUUUCAAAGACGAUUGAGGCUUGCAUGGAUGCUUCUUCUUCCUAUUAGUGAAGGGUCGCUCAGACAGCAUCUUCACACUUUGUUUAAAAUGUCCCCCUUCAGUUAAAAAUGAUAAAAAGAGACAAUAAUGUCUAUGGUUGCUUGGGGUAGAUGGCCUGGGUCCUCUCCUUGAAGAUCUUCAUCUUCAGGGAGCCUGUCUCCUUAUUGUCUGGAAGGGGGUUCCACAUCCGAAAGGUGGGUGGGAAAAAAGAUUCCUUGUAUGCGGAUGUUAUGCAAUAAGUAACCCUGAACCAUUGUUGGUGUCCUCUGGUAGCGGGCCCAGAGAUGCUGGAGAUGGGGUGACUAGUCAAUGACUAUCAGAUACAAUGCAGCAUGGUGAAUUUGGCACGUUGUCUACGAAUCUGCAAGCUCUCCCAUCCAAGCUUGUCAAGCAGAGAAGCCACGCUGUCUUUGGAGUUGUCAAGCAUAGAAAUCACGUUGUCGGUAGUAGUAGUUGCCGGUGACAAACAUGCUGC